CCUACGGGAGGCUGCAGUGGGGAAUAGUGGACAAUGGGGGCAACCCUGAUCCAGCCAUGCCGCGUGUGUGAAGAAGGCCCUCGGGUUGUAAAGCACUUUCAGUGAGGAAGAACGCCUGGUGGUUAAUACCCAUCAGGAAAGACAUCACUCACAGAAGAAGCACCGGCUAACUCCGUGCCAGCAGCCGCGGUAAUACGGAGGGUGCGAGCGUUAAUCGGAAUUACUGGGCGUAAAGCGCGCGUAGGUGGCUUGAUAAGCCGGUUGUGAAAGCCCCGGGCUCAACCUGGGAACGGCAUCCGGAACUGUCAAGCUAGAGUGCAGGAGAGGAAGGUAGAAUUCCCGGUGUAGCGGUGAAAUGCGUAGAGAUCGGGAGGAAUACCAGUGGCGAAGGCGGCCUUCUGGACUGACACUGACACUGAGGUGCGAAAGCGUGGGUAGCAAACAGGAUUAGAUACCCUGGUAGUC
rnacentral:rRNA from 1 species